rnacentral:tRNA from 1 species
GGGGAUGUAGCUCAGUGGUAGAGCACUUGCCUAGAAUGUAUGAGGCCGUAGGUUGAGAGCCCCAACACCA